AACGAACGCUGGCGGCAUGCCUAACACAUGCAAGUCGAACGAGACCUUCGGGUCUAGUGGCGCACGGGUGCGUAACGCGCGGGAACCUGCCCUUAGGUUCGGAAUAACUCCCCGAAAGGGGUGCUAAUACCGGAUAAUGUCUUCGGACCAAAGAUUUAUCGCCUUUGGAUGGGCCCGCGUUGGAUUAGCUAGUUGGUAGGGUAAAAGCCUACCAAGGCGACGACCCAUAGCUGGUCUGAGAGGAUGAUCAGCCACACUGGGACUGAGACACGGCCCAGACUCCUACGGGAGGCAGCAGUGGGGAAUAUUGGACAAUGGGCGAAAGCCUGAUCCAGCAAUGCCGCGUGAGUGAUGAAGGCCUUAGGGUUGUAAAGCUCUUUUACCCGGGAUGAUAAUGACAGUACCGGGAGAAUAAGCGCCGGCUAACUCCGUG
rnacentral:rRNA from 1 species